rnacentral:piRNA from 2 species
CUUAAAACUCAAAGGACUUGGCGGUAC